CAGAACUGUUCAAGUUUCUACCUGGAGGCACAGAGGAAGAUUCCCAUGGUAUCUAGGAGCAUUGAGCCACUGAAGUACAUGUGUUGACUAAGGCAAGCCUGAAACUGACUCUCAAAGCCCUAGCUACCACUUCUGCUUUCAUUUUCUUUCCUCCUUAUAGGCGACUGAGCAAUGAUCCAUUGGAUAGAUGUCUCAGUUGGUCAGCCUUGUGGAUGGAGAGAUGCCCUUGGAACCAGGAAGACCUGGGUUCAAGUCCUACUUGAAGAAGUAGAUACCCACUGACUCUGCAAUCCUAAAGACAAGAAAGUGGGUGAAUCAAAGAAGGGGCCCUCAACAUCAGGAAGGAUUUGCGCUGAAAAACAGAAAACUGAACAAGAAAGAAUUGUAAAUAUUUUUUUUUAUUUCAAUCUGUGGCUCCUUUCAGGAAUUGUGCCAUUUUUCUGAUUAAUUUGGAAAAUUUAUUUUGGCCAUUCGUGGCAACAACCUGUU